GGAACCUGCGGAAGGAGUCAUUAAAGAGUAAGGGUGCUCAGCGCCCGACCUCCAACCCUUUGUUGUUAAAACUACCUUGUUGCUUUGGCGGGACCGCUCGGUUCCGAGCCGCUGGGGAUUCGUCCCAGGCGAGCGCCCGCCAGAGUUAAACCAAACUCUUGUUAUUUAAACCGGUCGUCUGAGUUAAAAUUUUGAAUAAAUCAAAACUUUCAACAACGGAUCUCUUGGUUCUCGCAUCGAUGAAGAACGCAGCGAAAUGCGAUAAGUAAUGUGAAUUGCAGAAUUCAGUGAAUCAUCGAAUCUUUGAACGCACAUUGCGCCCCUUGGUAUUCCGAGGGGCAUGCCUGUUCGAGCGUCAUUACACCACUCAAGCUAUGCUUGGUAUUGGGUGCCGUCCUUAGUUGGGCGCGCCUUAAAGACCUCGGCGAGGCCUCACCGGCUUUAGGCGUAGUAGAAUUUAUUCGAACGUCUGUCAAAGGAGAGGACUUCUGCCGACUGAAACCUUUUAUUUUUUCUAGGUUGACCUCGGAUCAGGUAGGGAUACCCGCUGAACUUAAGCAUAUCAAUAGCC
rnacentral:rRNA from 1 species